GCAGAAGUAGCUCAGUUGGUAGAGCACAACCUUGCCAAGGUUGGGGUCGCGAGUUCGAGUCUCGUCUUCUGCUCCA
rnacentral:tRNA from 1 species